rnacentral:rRNA from 1 species
CCUACGGGAGGCAGCAGUGGGGAAUAUUGGGCAAUGGGCGCAAGCCUGACCCAGCAACGCCGCGUGAGGGAAGAAGGCCCACGGGUUGUAAACUUCUUUUGUCAGGGACGAAGAAAGUGACGGUACCUGACGAAUAAGUCACGGCUAACUACGUGCCAGCAGUCGCGGUAAUACGUAGGUGGCAAGCGUUAUCCGGAUUUACUGGGUGUAAAGGGCGUGUAGGCGGGAUUGCAAGUCAGAUGUUAAAUUCCAGGGCUCAACCCUGGCCCUGCAUUUGAAACUGUAAGUCUUGAGUGGUAGAGAAGCAUGCGGAAUGCCGGGUGUAGCGGUGAAAUGCGUAGAUAUACGGAGGAACACCGGUGGCGAAGGCGGCCUGCUGGACAUUAACUGACGCUGAGGCGCGAAAGCGUGGGGAGCGAACAGGAUUAGAUACCCUUGUAGUC